AAUAUGAAAGUAAUCCUGAUCUAUCCGUUUAGUAUAUUUAAGUAACGAUGCGCGAAAGAUUAUUAUAGCAUCAAAAACGUAUGUGUGCGUCCGAGUGGACUCGAACCACCGACCCCCACCA
rnacentral:antisense_RNA from 1 species